rnacentral:rRNA from 1 species
AUUCCAGCUCCAAUAGCGUAUAUUAAAGUUGUUGCAGUUAAAAAGCUCGUAGUUGGAUUUCUGGUGGGAGCGUUGGGCCGGCCCUAAGGGUCUGAGCUCAAAUGUUUUCCGCCAUCCUUGGAGGGAUGUUGUCUGGCAUUAAGUUGUCGGGCUUCCGAUCUCCAUCGUUUACUGUGAAAAAAUUAGAGUGUUCAAAGCAGGCUUAUGCCGUUGAAUACAUUAGCAUGGAAUAAUAAGAUAGGACCUUGGUACUAUUUUGUUGGUUUGCGUACCUAGGUAAUGAUUAAUAGGGACAGUUGGGGAUAUUACUAUUUCGUUGUCAGAGGUGAAAUUCUUGGAUUUACGAAAGAGUAACUACUGCGAAAGCAUUUAUCAAGGAUGUUUUCAUUA